rnacentral:rRNA from 1 species
UACGUAGGGUGCAAGCGUUAAUCGGAAUUACUGGGCGUAAAGCGUGCGCAGGCGGCUAUGCAAGACAGAUGUGAAAUCUCCUGGCUCAACUGGGAGCUUGCAGGCGAAACUGCCGUGCUGGAGUGUGGGAGAGGUGCGUGGAAUUCCCGGUGUAGCGGUGAAAUGCGUAGAUAUCGGGAGGAACAUCUGUGGCGAAGGCGGCCAUCUGGACCAGCACUGACACUGAGGCACGAAAGCGUGGGGAGCAAACAGG